CCUACGGGGGGCAGCAGUGAGGAAUAUUGGUCAAUGGGCGGAAGCCUGAACCAGCCAAGUAGCGUGCAGGAUGACGGCCCUACGGGUUGUAAACUGCUUUUAUACGGGAAUAACGCGCCUUACGUGUCGUGCUUUGCAUGUACCGUAUGAAUAAGGACCGGCUAAUUCCGUGCCAGCAGCCGCGGUAAUAUGGAAGGUCCGGGCGUUACCCGGAUUUAUUGGGUUAAAAGGGAGCGUCGGGCGCAUGUCAAGCGUGCGGUAAAAUGUCCGGGCUAAACCCGGGACUUCCAGCGAGAACGGGCGUGUGUGAGUCCGCGGAAAGCAGGCGGAAUUCGUGGUGUGGCGGUGAAAUGCUUAGAUAUGGCGAAGACCCCAGAUUGCGAAG
rnacentral:rRNA from 1 species